rnacentral:ncRNA from 1 species
AGCAGGGGAGCUUGCACGGCAGGCUGAGAGGAAGCAAUCGGCUUCGACCCUUAAACCUGAUGCGGAUAAUGCCGCCGUAGGAAAGCAAAGUU